rnacentral:rRNA from 1 species
ACGGGUAGCCGGCCUGAGAGGGCGACCGGCCACACUGGGACUGAGACACGGCCCAGACUCCUACGGGAGGCAGCAGUGGGGAAUAUUGCACAAUGGGCGAAAGCCUGAUGCAGCGACGCCGCGUGAGGGAUGACGGCCUUCGGGUUGUAAACCUCUUUCAGCAGGGAAGAAGCGCAAGUGACGGUACCUGCAGAAGAAGCACCGGCUAACUACGUGCCAGCAGCCGCGGUAAUACGUAGGGUGCGAGCGUUGUCCGGAAUUAUUGGGCGUAAAGAGCUUGUAGGUGGUUUGUCGCGUCUGCUGUGAAAAUCCGAGGCUCAACCUCGGACUUGCAGUGGGUACGGGCAGACUAGAGUGUGGUAGGGGAGACUGGAAUUCCUGGUGUAGCGGUGGAAUGCGCAGAUAUCAGGAGGAACACCGAUGGCGAAGGCAGGUCUCUGGGCCAUUACUGACACUGAGAAGCGAAAGCAUGGGGAGCGA